rnacentral:rRNA from 1 species
CCUACGGGUGGCAGCAGUGAGGAAUAUUGGUCAAUGGACGAAAGUCUGAACCAGCCAAGUAGCGUGAAGGAUGACUGCCCUAUGGGUUGUAAACUUCUUUUAUAAAGGAAUAAAACGAGGCACGUGUGCCUCUUUGCAUGUACUUUAUGAAUAAGGAUCGGCUAACUCCGUGCCAGCAGCCGCGGUAAUACGGAGGAUCCGAGCGUUAUCCGGAUUUAUUGGGUUUAAAGGGAGCGUAGAUGGGUUGUUAAGUCAGUUGUGAAAGUUUGCGGCUCAACCGUAGCAUUGCAAUUGAUACUGGCAGUCUUGAGUAGAGUUGAGGAAGGCGGAAUUCGUGGUGUAGCGGUGAAAUGCUUAGAUAUCACGAAGAACCCCGAUUGCGAAGGCAGCUUACUAACCUGUGACUGACAUUGAGGCACGAAAGUGUGGGGAUCGAACAGGAUUAGAUACCCGGGUAGUC